AUUGAACGCUGGCGGCAGGCUUAACACAUGCAAGUCGAGCGGAGAUGAGGUGCUUGCACCUUAUCUUAGCGGCGGACGGGUGAGUAAUGCUUAGGAAUCUGCCUAUUAGUGGGGGACAACAUUCCGAAAGGAAUGCUAAUACCGCAUACGUCCUACGGGAGAAAGCAGGGGAUCUUCGGACCUUGCGCUAAUAGAUGAGCCUAAGUCGGAUUAGCUAGUUGGUGGGGUAAGGGCCUACCAAGGCGACGAUCUGUAGCGGGUCUGAGAGGAUGAUCCGCCACACUGGGACUGAGACACGGCCCAGACUCCUACGGGAGGCAGCAGUGAGGAAUAUUGGACAAUGGGCGGAAGCCUGAUCCAGCCAUGCCGCGUGUGAAGAAGGCCUUUUGGUUGUAAAGCACUUUAAGCGAGGAGGAGGCUCUCCUAGUUAAUACCUAGGAAGAGUAGACGUUACUCGCAGAAUAAGCACCGGCUAACUCUGUGCCAGCCGCCGCCGUAAUAC
rnacentral:rRNA from 1 species